rnacentral:tRNA from 1 species
GUCCUUUUAGCUCAGUUGGCCAGAGCGCGGCACUAGUACUUACGUAAUCAAUACGAUUCUACUCAAUGCCGAGGUCAGUCGUUCAAAUCGGCUAAGGGACA